UACGUAGGGGGCAAGCGUUGUCCGGAUUUAUUGGGCGUAAAGAGCGUGUAGGCGGCCCGAUUAGUCCGCUGUGAAAGUCCAGGGCUCAACCCUGGAAUGCCGGUGGAUACUGUCGGGCUAGAGUCCGGAAGGGGCGAGGGGAAUUCCUGGUGUAGCGGUGAAAUGCGCAGAUAUCAGGAGGAACACCAAUGGCGAAGGCAGCUCGCUGGGACGUGACUGACGCUGAGACGCGAAAGCGUGGGGAGCAAACAGG
rnacentral:rRNA from 1 species